UAGGGAAUCUUCCGCAAUGGACGAAAGUCUGACGGAGCAACGCCGCGUGAGUGAUGAAGGUUCUCGGAUCGUAAAACUCUGUUGCCAGGGAAGAAAAGUAAGGAGAGUUACUGCUCCUUACGUGACGGUACCUGAGAAGAAAGCCCCGGCUAACUACGUGCCAGCAGCCGCGGUAAUACGUAGGGGGCAAGCGUUGUCCGGAAUUAUUGGGCGUAAAGCGCGCGCAGGCGGCCUGUUAAGUCUGGUGUUUAAUCCCGGGGCUCAACCCCGGUUCGCACUGGAAACUGGUAGGCUUGAGUGCAGAAGAGGAGAGUGGAAUUCCACGUGUAGCGGUGAAAUGCGUAGAUAUGUGGAGGAACACCAGUGGCGAAGGCGAUUCUCUGGUCUGUAACUGACGCUGAGGCGCGAAAGCGUGGGGAGCAAACAG
rnacentral:rRNA from 1 species